rnacentral:lncRNA from 1 species
CGAAGACACUGAGGCCCAAGAAAUUCAAGAAUCUUGCAUAGAUCACAAAGUCAGUAGGUGGCAGACCUGAGACUUGCGCUGUUUCACUGUUGAAUGCCUCCCCAGAAGAGUGGAGAACUGGAGUUGGGAUUGGGAUUGUGCUAAGUGCCAAAAGGGUUGGUAGAAGGUGUGGGUUAUGCAUCAGAGCACAGAAUGUUUUUAGAAGACCACCAAGGACUUUGGGAUCCUAUCUGCUGUCCAGAUUUAGCACAUGCUUGUUGUCACUUGAGUCUCUCUUAGAGACUCUGGAUCUUCCACAUUGGGCCGGCUGCCACCAAGACACAUAACUCUGGGAAUCCCCAUGUCAUGCUGCAGACAGUUGCUGCACCCUGUCCUUCCAACUCCUCCCACGGAUGGUGGUUCAGAUCCUCUUAGCCUCCUCACCACCCGUCUCUUGCCCUGGCUGUGUCCAGAAAGGCUGCAGUGGACUCACACAGAUGUGAGGCACUGUUGGAUAAAUAGAAUCAAGGAGAAGGGCCACUGGACUCAAGCAAAGUCAGAUGGAUGUUGUAGGAAGAUUUGA